AGGACGAACGCUGGCGGCGUGCUUAACACAUGCAAGUCAAGGGGGCCCAGCAAUGGGCAACCGGCGAACGGGUGCGUAACACGUGAGCAACCUACCGAACUGGUGGGGGAUAGCCGGCCUAACGGCCGAGUAAUACCGCAUACGCUCUCAGUGAGGCUAUUUCAUUGA
rnacentral:rRNA from 1 species